rnacentral:rRNA from 1 species
AUACGUAGGGAGCGAGCGUUGUCCGGAAUUACUGGGUGUAAAGGGAGCGUAGGCGGGAGUGCAAGUCAGAUGUGAAAUGCAUGGGCUUAACCCAUGAGCUGCAUUUGAAACUGCAUUUCUCGCGUGAAGUAGAGGUAAGCGGAAUUCAUGGGGUAGCGGUGAAAUGCGUAGAUAUCAGGAGGAACACCGGUGGCGAAGGCGGCUUACUGGGCUUUUACUGACGCUGAGGCUCGAAAGCGUGGGGAGCAAACAGGAUUAGAUACCCUGGUAGUCCACGCUGUAAACGAUGAUUACUAGGUGUGGGGGGACUGACCCCUUCCGUGCCGCAGUUAACACAAUAAGUAAUCCACCUGGGGAGUACGGCCGCAAGGUUGAAACUCAAAUGAAUUGGCGGGG